CCCUUAGAUGUUCUGGGCCGCACGCGCGCUACACUGACGAAUGCAACGAGCUUAUAACCUUGGCCGAAAGGUCUGGGUAAUCUCCAAAUUUCGUCGUGAUGGGGAUAGAUUAUUGCAAUUAUUAAUCUUCAACGAGGAAUGCCUAGUAAGCGCAAGUCAUCAGCUUGCGUUGAUUACGUCCCUGCCCUUUGUACACACCGCCCGUCGCUCCUACCGAUUGAGCAAUCCGGUGAAUACUUCGGACCGGUUACUUGGUUGGUUCGCUAACCUUGUGACUGGAAAGUCGAGUGAACCUUAUUGCUUAGAGGAAGGAGAAGUCGUAACA
rnacentral:rRNA from 1 species